rnacentral:lncRNA from 1 species
UUAGAGAAGAAAUGGCUAGUUAUGGUGGUAAUGGUGGGGGUGGAGGUGACUACUCUGCCAUCCAUGUUUAGGGGCAGGGAUGGGGACAAGAAAGGCAGCGUUCCACAACUAACGGAGCAAGGGUUGGCUGGAGGGACCCAGGAGGAUGGCUUCACUCUGGAGCUGGUUGAAUGUGGCAAAGGAUGCCCCAGGGAGAGAGGUACAGCCACCAGCUGCCUCCGAGUCUGCAGCUGGUUUCUCGUCUUCAGGGAAAGGCAUUGUUUGUUCGUUGUCUCACCUCAGGGGCAGUGGAGUCCAGGCGGGGUUCUCCUUGAGGAUCCUGUUUACUCUCGCCGUGCCCCCCAGUGCCCCGCACAGAGCCUGGCAAGCAGCGGGCACUUCAUAAACACUGGGAGACGUUGCAAUGGGCUGGCCACGGGAGAAGCACUCCAGUGGACCUUUGGAAAGCAGAACAGAAGAAACUGCAGCUCAGAGAAUGACUGGCCAGGGUCUGCCAGCUGAUGGAGACCGGGGAGAAAGAAGGCAACAUUCUAUGAGACACCAACAGAGACGAAGCCUGUCUGGGAUUCUGUUCCACGCAGAGGUUGGAAAGAGCAGCGCGGCUGCCUCUGGAAAUCUUGUUUCCCCUGCCACAUGACAUCAGUGGGUUAUAUUGCAACUUUCCACAUGGCUGCCCAGACACAGACAGUUGUGUUUAUGAAAAUCCUCCUGAUACCAGCUUGGAGCCUCCCUGGCACUCAAGGCUCCUUCUCAGGCUGCGAUGUGUUCUGCUUAGAGGAGCAGCUGACAAAGGGCAGGUUGGAAGAGGGAAGACGUGGUCUAAUGGAAAGUGAAUGUUCAGCAUGCUUACUGAGCCCCUCCAGUCCCACCCAUCCACCCCAGGGAAGACUAACUAACAAGAGCAGCAGCCAACACUUAUUAAGCUCCAACUAUGUAC